rnacentral:rRNA from 1 species
GCUGGCGGCGCGCUUACACAUGCAAGUCGCACGAGAAAGAGGAGCAAUCCAUGAGUAAAGUGGCGCACGGGUGAGUAACACGUGGAUCAUCUACCUCUUAGUGGGGGAUAACCCUGGGAAACCGGGGCUAAUACCGCAUAAGCUCGCGAGAGGAAAGCAGCAAUGCGCUGAGAGAGGAGUCCGCGGCCGAUUAGCUAGUUGGUAGGGUAAUGGCCUACCAAGGCGAUGAUCGGUAGCCGGCCUGAGAGGGCACACGGCCACACUGGCACUGAAACACGGGCCAGACUCCUACGGGAGGCAGCAGUGGGGAAUCUUGCACAAUGGAGGAAACUCUGAUGCAGCGACGCCGCGUGAGCGAUGAAGCCCUUCGGGGUGUAAAGCUCUUUCGGCAGGGACGAUUAUGACGGUACCUGAAGAAGAAGCUGCGGCUAACUACGUGCCAGCAGCCGCGGUAAUACGUAGGCAGCAAGCGUUGUUCGGAAUUACUGGGCGUAAAGAGUGUGUAGGCGGUUCUCUAAGUUCGGUGUGAAAUCUCCGGCUUAACUGGGAGGGUGCGCCGGAAACUGGAGAGCUUGAGU